AUGGUACACCGGUGUGCUGCUGCACUGUUGCCUAGACAGCAAGGAAGGGCUUCAGACAUACCCGGAUAUCGGUCUGCCUUCGGCACCACCGGUGGCAUAGCCAUCUCGAUAAUCCUGUAUGUGGAACUAUAUGCCUGCUGCAUCGAGUAUUUGAUACUGGAAAGCGACAAUUUAUCCAAGUUGUUCCCCAAUGUACACCUUAACAUUGGGGGCUUGACGAUAAACUCGCAUGUGUUCUUCGCAAUCUUGAUGACGCUUGUUGUCAUGCCGACCACCUGGCUCCGUGACCUCACCUGUCUGAGCUAUAUUUCUGCUGGAGGUGUGGUUGCAUCAAUCCUUGCAGUCAUCAGCUUAUGCUGGAUUGGGGUUGUCGACCAUGUCGGCUUUGAGAACAAAGGGACUGCGUUAAACCUCCCGGGAAUUCCUAUUGCGAUUGGACUGUACGGUUACUGCUACUCGGGGCACGGGGUGUUCCCAAACAUCUACUCUUCUCUGAGGAAUCGCAACCAGUUUCCUUCCAUUCUUUUCACCUGCAUUGGUUCUCUACCAUUUUGUUUACUGCCACUGCGGUGA
rnacentral:rRNA from 1 species